UUUAUUGUCAUUUCAGUGGUAUUGUCUUCACCACUUGUCUUUUGUUCUUGUCUGUCUUUGUGUUGUUUUGGUGGUCGGCCCUUCCUGAUAGAAGUUGUCAAUUGGCUUUGAGUAAGAUGGUGUAGGCUGAUCGUGAGGGGCGGAUGGGGGUCACACACGCACACCACAUUCACUCAUAAAUUACAUACCUUCUGUGUGGCAUUUACAUUACUAUAUAUGCAGACAGGGGGAAAAAAAAGGUUUUUUUAAAGUGUGAUUUUGUGUUAAAUGAAAGCUACGAUACUAAGUGAUGCCCACUUCCAAAAAUGGACCCAAUCUUUUUUAAAAAAAGAGAAACUGGACAAACAAUAUCUUCAAAUAGUAACAUUUCAGAAAUCUUAAAUGUAAAGAAUAAUGCAAAAUUUUCAUAAGUAAGACAUACAAGUUAUAUUAAACAUCAAUAUGACCAAGUCUAUUUUUAAUUACCACAAUGGUAAUAAUCACAAACAACCUUCACAAACAAACUGACCGAUCCAGAUCGGUCAGUUUUUUAUGCAUCAUUCGUCAUUGGUAAAAAAAAAAAUCUCGAAUAAUCCCGAAUAGUGCAGAACGCGUCCCCACGGUGAAUACAGCUUUUGAUUUGAUCCCACAAUGCACCACGCAGGUGUACACAGGAAAAUUCAAACCGGAUCAAAUAAACAUAGCGUCAGUCCAGUCCAGUCGAUGGAAAACAGUUAUGCAUGGAAAAUUGGGCCUUUAUUUCAGCAAGAAACCGUGAGUGGUUUAUAAAUAGUUUUC